ACCAGGUGGCACAGGUGUAGGAGGAGGAGGGCCUGAUCCAGAUUCGACUCCCAAAUGAGUAGUUGAUCAUUUUUUUUAUCCUCUUUUUUUAAAAACACGUUAAUUAAUUUGGAGUUGUUUUAGUUUUAUUUUAUUUGGAAUUUAUGUUUUUACUUUCAUUUUAACAUAAUGAUCCAGAUGUAAACAGAUGUAUCAAAGGAAUUGGCAAUAUUAAAUUGAAAUGAGAUUGAGGAUAGUUAAUAGUAUUACAUUGCUGCUACUUGUUUUCAAUCGUGAUCUCAAAGGGUAAAAUAAAUUAUACAUUUUCUAAUCCUCUUUCUGAGUAUUAAAUAGUACUAUCACUGAAUAAAUAAAUAUAGGAUAACUUGUUUUCUGUUGAUAUAUGUUAAGAAUUAAUUAUAAAAAUAUUUUUUUAAAACUUGUGUAUUAUUUUUAUCAAAAUUUUAUAAUUAAUAUUUUUAUUUAUUUACAUUUUAUUAUAAAUUUUUAUUGUAAUAAAUUAUCUUAUUUAUAUUAUCAAAAAUUUUCUCUUUCAGAUUUUUCUAUUUUGCCAUUUCAUGGUAUCGAAUUAUAGUAUAGGGUAUUUUGAACUUCCAAUGAGAUUCUCAUCAAUUAUAUGGUAUAAAAAUUGGGGACUAUUCUUCAAGAAUUUGAAAUCUCUUAAAAUAUGUAGAGUUUAUUUAAUGGGAAUCCUUAACCUUUUUAAUGUUGUAUUAAUAAUUUUUUUUAUUCUUUAGGGACUUAAAACUACCCCAUUAAAUGGAAUAUAUAUUUUUUUUACAUUGUCUGUCAAAUUUUUGUCACCCAAUUAUAUAUAAAUAAUUGUAUUAAACAUUUUAUGAACUAUGUUUUUUUAUUAAGUGUUACCAAUAGUUUAAAAUUACAAAGCAAAUUUAUAAUAAGAUUUUUUUUUUAAUAUUCAACUUUUAGUCACUAUUAUACUCCUAUUUAGACUUUGUAAAAAGAACAAUUACUUUAAACAUAACCGGCAAACAAAGACGGAGUCAAAAAAUUUGAAUAGUGGGUCAAUAUAAAUAUAAUAUUUUAUUUUUCAAAAAUAUAAAAAUAUAAAUACCUUGUUUGACGGUUUUUCAUGUUAUGAAAAUAUUGAAUAAGUUUCUAAUUUUCAACAUAAAAAAAUUAUAUCUUUCAAUAUAAGUAUCUAAGCAAUCAUUUAACCAUUCAUCACUCAUGCAAUUUCACAUUUGAUUAUUUAUAAUAUUCAUAACAGAGAAAGCUAUUUUAGCUAUUGCAGUUGCCACCAAUAAUAUCAGAAAUAAUUUUAAAAGCAAAUAUACCAAUAGAUACACAUCAUGUUCUUUGUUGAUUUUUAAAAAAAAAUAUUUUUUCAAUGCUUAUUACUAAAAACAAAAUAAAAGCUCACAAUUAAAAUCAUAUUUAGAAAGUUCAUACUAAUACUAUAAAUUGAUACAAACACUACAAAACUCUAAAAAUAAAUUUUCUACCGUCACAAUCUCAAACUCAAUAAGGUAAUAAUAUAUUUAUACUCCUAUUAUGAUAAUAAAAAUAAAUUAUAAAUUCAUAAAAAUUAAAAUUAAAAAAUUUAUCUAUCAACUAUAGAAAAGAAAAUUGAUAAUAGAGAUGCGCUUUGCAGUAAGAGAAAGAGAAGUAAGAGAAAGAGAAGUAAGAGAAAGAGGAAUACGAAAAGUGAUUUGUUUGUCCUUGAAAAGUGUCAAAAGAGAAUUAAUAGGAAUAGAAAAAGAAAAGUUUUUUUUUUUUAAUUUUAGUUAAAACAUUUAUUAUAUUUAUUAUAUAGAACUAUUUUUUAAAGUAAACAAUUAAAUAUUUUAAAUGUAGUAGAGUAAUAGGUGUGUGUGAGAACUAAAUUAUUCAAUAUUAUUUAUUAAGUGGGGGUCAUAAUAAUUUUUUUUCUAAUUUUUUAAUACAUUUAACAUGUUAAUAUAUUACUUAUAAUAUUAAAUAUGGAAUAAGUGAUAAUUGUGGUGGGGGCAUAGACUCACCCUUUCAAUACACUAACGGCAAAUAUGGACUCACUAUAACAUUUUCGUCCGAAAACAAAAAGAAAGGGUUGACUAAUGAAGCUACGAUUUCAAAUUCAUACAAUUGAUAUAAAAAUACCACUAUCACCAGCAUAAGAUAAAUUGCAAAAAUACAACUUUCUUAUUGAACAUAAUAACAACGGUUAAAUUAUGUUAAAAAUAGAAUAUAAUCUACUAGAAUAGGUUCAGAUAUAAGAUAUAAUUUAAGUUGUGUAUGACUCAAGUUCAAAGUCAAUUAUGGUUUAAGGUUUGUUACUUAGUUUGUUAUUUAGUAGUCAAGUAACUUUGUAUAUAAAUACAUGCAUAUGUAAAUUAAUUUGUAUCACAAUCAUUAUUCAAUAAUAGAAUCUUUAUUUUCAUAUUCUCUAUCUUUUCUCUCCUCACAAAAGUGCCUCACACACUAACAAAUUGAUAUCUAGAGUUUCGAUUAGAUUCUUGAUCGUCUUUUCAAGAGUCACAUGUCAGUGACCGUGUUUCUGGAAUUGAGGGUUGUUAAUCGUGUUUGUUGCAAAGAUGAAUGACACCAACGUCAUUCCGAAUUCUCUUUCAAUUCUUGACAACAAGAAUUGGAUUGAUGGAGAAAAUUGAUGCAGUCCUAGUCCGACUUUCAUGAAAUCCAAGAAGUGGUUACUAAUAACGUCCCUGAGUUUGUUGAGAAUGCAAUUGAUGCUCAGAGGGUCGCGCACAAGGAGGAGAAGAAGAAAGACUGCGAGGCCUCGUAUUGCAUUCAAUCGGCGGUAGAUUCGACGAAUUUCGACAAGAUCUCUCAUGCUGAAUCGGCGAAGGAGGCAUGUGAUAUUCUUGUCAAGUACUAUGAAGGAGGUGAGAAAGUCAAAAUUGUCGAAUUGCAGACUUUACGAUGGCAGUAUGAAUUGAUUCAGAUGGGAUAAGAUGAAAAGAUUAUAUGCUAUGUGUCGAAGGUACUGAAUCUCGUCCGUAUCAUGAUGGGUUGUGGUGAAACCCUAACUAAUAAGAUGAUAGUUGAGAAGGUAAUGUGUAUAUUGACCUCUCACUUUGAUCACGUUAUUGUAGCUAUUCAAGAAUCCAACAAUCUUGAAACCAUGAACUGGAAGAUUUGGUUGGUUCGUUGGAGGCGCAUGAGAUUAGGAUUAUCGAAAGGAAAUGGGUUAAAGAUUUGAUACAAGCACUGCAAGCUCAAGCUUGGAGGAAGCAUGGUGGCUCCAACAAAUUUAAAGGCAAAGGAGACAAGACUCGAAGCAAGAAGUCUUGGUCGAACCUUCAAAAGCAUAAGGUCGAUGAUAGGGCUUAUAAAUCCUCGAAAAGAGGAUAAGGAAACUCCUAUCAGAAAGACAAAGCAAAAAAAUGUGUGUAUUUCUCUAAUUGUGAAAAGUAGGGUUACAUGGCCAAGAAUUGUUGGUAUAAUAAAGACAAGGGAUUGACAAAAGGCAAGGAGGAAGGAGCGAACCUUGCAUGCCAAUAUUCAGAUGAGGUUGAAUAUACGGUGGUUAUGGUUGCAGUUGUAGAUGACCAUGUCGAAUCCAAGAUUUGGUUCCUCGACUCAGGCUACUCGAAUCACAUGACUGGUUGAAAAGUGUGGUUAGCAGAUUUCGAUUCGUCGAAGAAGAGCAAGGUCAAACUUGCUGAUAAUAGCUCGUUGCAAGCAGAAGGUACUGGAGACAUAGUUUUUCAAAGGAGCAAUGAAGGAAAAGCUAUGAUUAAAUAUGUACUUUAUGUACCUGGAAUAAAGUUCAAUUUUCUAAGUGUUGGGCAACUGGUUGAAAAAGGUUUCUCAGUAAUUAUGAAAGUUGGAGCCUUGGAACUAUUCGUCCCUCUGAAUAAUUAGGUCUUGAAAUUUCCUUUGUCCAAGAACAGGACAUUUAAGACCAUGAGCAGUUCGAUUGAAGUACAAUGUCUAAAAACCAUUGUUGACCACAAGAAUAGUUGGUUGUGGCAUUUGAGGUUUGGACAUCUGGACUUUCGAUCACUAAUAUAGGUUUCUCAGUCGAUUUGUGAGUAGAUACAUGAGUAAAUUGAGGGUGUCACACAUGAAGGCUACAAGAAGAAUCCUGAGAUACUUAAAAGGAUCGAUAUACUAUGGAAUUCUAUUUAGAUGAGACUCUGAAAGCAAAGAAGCUAUGGUUACUUUCUAUUUAGAUGUUGAUUGGUGUGGAGAUAAGGAAGAUCAAAUAAGUACAACUGGUUAUUUCUUUCAAGUGUUUGGUGCCAUAAUCUCAUGAUGCUCGAGAAAGCAACCUGUGGUGGCAUUGCCAUCGUGUGAGGCUGCAUAUAUAGGAGGAUCCUAUGAUGCAUGUCAAGCAAUUUGGAUUUGAUAUGUGCUUAAAGAAAUGCAGGUUGAAGUGAAGAAACCUCUGGUGUUGCAGAUCGACAAUAGUCAGCCCUAAAUCUUGUGAAGAAUCCAGUUUUGCAUGGAAGGAGUAAGCAUAUCGAAGCAAGAUUUCAUUUCCUUAGGGAGAAGGUAAAUCGAGGUGAACUUGAAGUGAGGCAUUGCUCAAGUGAAGCACAAUUGGCCUACCUUUUCACCAAAGUAUUGAAGAUCAACAAAUUCUUGAAUUUGAAAAAUAAAUUAGGAAUAGUUCAUAUCGAUUAUGAUUAUCAUAUGUUUGACAACUUGGAUUAUAGGGGGUAUAUUGAGAUAUAAGAUAUAAUCCAAGUUGUGUGUGGCCCAAGACCAAAGUCAAUUAGAGUUUAUAGUUUGUUACUUAGUCUUUUAAUUAGUAGUCAAGUAACAUUAUAUAUAAAUACAUGCAUAUUUAAAUUAGUUUGUAUCACAAUCAUUUUUCAAUAAUAGAAUCCUUACUUUCAUAUUCUCUCUCUUUUCUCUCCUCACAAAAGUGCCUCACACACUAACAAAAUCUUCUACAGUGAGUAAAACUUAAAUAAGAUUUUAUCUUGUCUAACAAGGUCCAAGGCCCUUGAUCAUAAUAUACACAAGAAGACGGUUAUCAAUAGAGAGCAUAAAGCUGCAAUUUAACAUAAAGCAUAAGACUCGCUCUGCAAGCUCUAGUUCUUAGCUGCAAUAGAACAGAUACUUAAAAUUUACUAGUUUGACGAAUAAAAACAACAAAAACAUAAGUUUCAUUAUACUUCAUACACACCAUUGCAAGGUAGAAAAUUUUCUUCAAGUAUAAUGACAAGAUAUUAAAAGAGUAACAUGUUCUGCAAGCGCUGCAAAAAAUUAUGUAUGUGUGUUGAACUGAAAGUGAGAAAAAUACAGAACAAGGGGGUUGAGUUGUGUAAGGCCAAAAAUCGAAUUUACUUCUGAACCAACAAGUUUAGAUUCUAAACAAGGUUCAAUCUCUAAUAUCAGAAUCAAGCACAACAACGGAAAUAAAAAGUUCAGAGGUAAAUGCAAGCAACACACAAAGAUUAACUCUAAUAUGUAUGUUCCUUGGAUACCCUAGAGGAGUCAAAGCUUAUAGGUUGUGGUGCAUGGAGUCAGAUGAUGACUUCUGGGCAAGUGUACCGAUAGUUUCACAAUAAUAAAAAAUUGAAUCUACAUGGAUUGUGUUCGAACUAACCAACAAUUGUGCAAUAUAAAGGAAAAACGGUAAAUGGGGGGGGGAAGGGGUCCGUUUUUUACNUUAAACGGAAGAACAAAUUAUGAGUCUAAAACAGAAGAAUUAAUACAAUUAGCUUGUGUACUAGAAUCUAGUUAUCCUUUCUUGUUGAUGUAUGAUUCCUCGAAUGAAUGGUCUAAUCCUUAUAAUCUCACGGCGAACUAACAAAACUGUUAUAGCCGACCCCUCACGAAAUAACUCAUUAACCACUACUCAGAGCUUUAUAUCCCUAGUCUGCCAGCAUAAGUAGGGUUAGGUGAUGUACAAAACGUUAAUUCCCUACGCCACUACUCGGGGGCUCCUAUCCCUAUUCAACUAACGUAAGUAAAAUAGUUUUCCUAGGUCCAACACAUAUGGUAAGGGUCAGUAAUCCAUAUGUGUCUAAUAUCAGAUUAACAUAGUAUCUCAAAUAAAAAACAUUAAGACUAAGAAACAACUGAAUAAGAUUAUAAUUCAAAUGAUUCAUACAAAUUCAAACCAAUAUAUAAUGCCAACAAUAUUGAAUCAGGUUCAUCAUCUCACAACCUAACCUAAAGAAGCUUAGCUACUCAUAGUCAAAAUUACAAUACCAAUUGAAUAAAGAAGAAUAUCAUAUGAGUUCCCUUGAAGGAUAGGCCUCCAAUGCUCUCAAAAUCACCCUUUGAUGCUGUAAAAUCGUGCUCCCAAUGCCAAAUUUCAUAACCCUUGUGAAAGUGCAUAAUUUCCUCUUUUAAAGGUGUCAGAAUAGACCAGAACACGUUAGAAAAAAAGGCCCAGACAAGUGACCAUCGCGCGCACGAUACCCUGCAUUCUUUGGUCCUUUUAUUUUCUCCUUUUUCACUGAAAUUUUCUCUAAGUCCACAAUUUGCACACUUAGCUAUUUUCCCCCUAAUCUUUGGUCAUUCCAUCUCAUGUUGCUUGACUUUCACUUGUUUUCCUCUGAUUCUUCGAGUAAAUAUAUGCAAUGAUGGGCUGUCAUCACAACCCUAAACAUGAAUUAUUGCUUAUCCUCAAGUAACUCAUUUAUAACUGCACAUUUCAACAGACAACAAGUCGCACAAUAACAACCGAACAUCACUAAAUUAAAAUUUUAUUUUACCUGACCAUGUUCUAGCUUCCAACUUCUAUCCAACGAAUUUAGAAAACAUCCUCAACAUUGACGAUUACUUAACAUGUCUCUCAGCUCACUAUAACUCACUCAAUGGAUAAGGUGAUCACUCAAUCAACAUGAAAAAUAAAUUAAACUUAGCUUGAUUACAUUGUUAAAAAGUUCAUCAAAGAGAUCACAACACAUAAAUUAGAGGGAUUUCCAGGUUGUAAUUUGGCUUGUGUUAGGUAGGAUAUAUUUAGGAUAUUAGGGUUAAACCUUUGGAGUUAGGUUCCUAGUUCUCCUUCAUUCAUCAUACCUUUUUGUUAGUACUAGAUAUUUGUGAUAUUUCUUACAAUGUCAUUCUUUUUCUUUUCUCAUUCAUUCAAAUUUUUUUGAAGAAGUGUCUUUUUCCAUUUCUUUUUCACAACAAUUUUUUUAAAAUUUUAGAUCAUAUUCUCUUGUAUCCCAACCUCAAACUUAAAUUUUUUUACAUUUCCAAGAGUAACCCUAAAUUUAAUCUUUUUCAUAAACUCUAAGAACAAUAUUUCUACCUAACUCCAAAGAGAAGGUGGAAAUAAAAUAUAUUUCAAGUAAUAUGGCUAAGAAUUUAAGGCUAUGUCACCAAAAGAAAGGCUUAGGCUAAAAGUAUUUAGCAAAGGAUAAUCCUACUACUAAAGGGUGGUUUAUAAAGGCUCAAAGUUAUAAACAAAAAAUUACCUCAGUGUGUGUUGAUCAAACUUGACAACUUAAUUAGAAAUAAAUCAAAUCAGAUAAAAGAAUAAUGCAUGGAUACACUCAUAAAGAAAGAAAAGUGAACAAUGGAAAUAUUUGGCUCAAAUCUUACUAUAUGAGGUAUUUGUAGGUUGAAUACGAGUCUGUUGAUUAUUUUCCCAUCCUUCGCCUUCAAGUUCCUAGUUGCUAUUAUGAUGAUCAAGUUUCCUUUGGAUCAUUUGUUCAAUUCUAAAAUGCUAAACUUGUAAUCUAAAAGAAACAUAAACAACUACAAACUUGUUUAUUAAAGACAAUUGAGAUAUUCAUGGAAGGGUUAUGCUUGAGUAGAUAACUCUUCUUUUGGAUGGUCUUGAAUAAAAAUAAAGUAAAUUCUGAAAAACAAAAAAAAAGCUAGUUAUAAAAGAUGGGUUGCCUCCCAUCCAAUGCUUCUUUAAGGUUAUAAGCUUGACCUUUUGAUUUGUGUGUUAGGGCGACAUACAUGACAAGAAAAACACAUCAUCCCUCUUCUUCCUUUUGUUUGGUAGGAAUUCCAUCACUUUCAGGAAUUGAAGGUUUUUCUUCCAUAUUUUCUUUAGCUUGAUAGUAUUGAACAAGGGAUAAAUCUCAUCCAAUAAUUCAUCAAUUUCUCCUCUUUUAUCAGCCUUUAUACUAGGUGUAGGAGUAUUAUUUUGUUGAAGAUCUUGUAGUUGGAUAUCUAAUUCUGAACGAAUUAUUGAAAUUUAAGCUUCACCAAAAAUGAUACAAUCUUCAUCUUAAAUUCUUGCUCUUGUCCCAUAUAUAAUUUUCACCUUAGCUUCUUCUAUUCUUGCUUCUAUCUCUUUAUCAGGUGUCUUGCAUUUUUCUUCUUCUUUCUCUUUUUCAACUCCUCCUUCAUUAAAUACCUGACAUUCCUGUUUAACGUCCCUUUUAAUUUCCUUAUAUCUAGGGCUAUCUAACAUAUUUUCAUAGAAAUACCCAGUAGAUAUUAGUUUUAAUGCUAAUUGGAUAGAUACUUGACCAAGUUGCAUCUCUAAAUUCUCGAAGGAUGUUUCCAUGUUACUUCGCACAAUUUCUUGAUGUCUAUUGAUUUUCUCGAAAAUGAGUUGAGUCAUCUUUAUAAACUGGAUCAAGGUUUAUUCAAGUUGAGAUUGUGAAUCCCUCUCCUAUGAAUGAUCAAUGUAAGGUUCUGGUUCUAAAUAAUUUCUAGCAUUUUCCAAAAUGAGCGUUUUUGAUGCAAGUUCCUUUGCAUAAGUUUCAAACUUUACAAAGGUAGCAUAGACGACAUCUCGCAUGAUUGUCUUGACCUUGCAUACAAACAAAAAGAAGAAUACCUUAGUAGCACUGCAUAGAUAAGAAAUUUAAACAAAAAUAAACUAAAAAGAUAAAGAAAUGGAAAAUACAAAUUAAGAAUAAACAUAAAUAAAAUAAUUACAAAAUGAAAAUAUUUACAAUUGAAAACAAAACGGAAAACAAAAUAAAACUAAACGUUUCACACGCGUCGCCUUGUUGAAAAACCAACAGUCCCUGGCAACGGCGCCAAAAACUUGAUGACUUCUCAUCAAGUGUACUAAUAGUGUCGCAGUAAUAAAAUAUUGAAUCCACAAGGACUAUGUUCUGACAUGUCAACAAUUAUGCAAUAUAAAGGAAAAAUGGUAAGGGGGUUCAGGUUUUAGAAAGGAAAACAAAUUACGAGUUUAAAACAGAAGAAUUAAGAUGGUUAGGUUGUAUAUUAGAAUACCAUUAUCCUCUCUUGUUGAUGUAUGGUGUCUUGUAUGAAUGGUCUAAUCCUUAUAAUCUCAUGGCGAACUAACAAAACUGUUAUAGUCGAUCCCUCACAAAAUAACUCAUUAACCUCUACUCAGAGCUUUCUAUCCCUAGUCCGCCAUCAUAAGCAGGGUUAGACAAUGUACAAAACAUUAAUUCCCUAGGCCACUACUCAGGGUCUCCUAUCCCUAUUCAACCAGCGUAAGUAAAACAAUUGCGUUAGAUCCAACAUAUAGGCUAAGGGUCAGUAAUCCAUAUGUGUCUAAUAUGAGAUUAACAAAGUAUCUCAAAUAAAAAAACAUUAAGAUUAAGAAACAACUGAGUAAGAUUAUAAUUCAAAAUAUUCAUACAAAGUCAAACCAACAUAUAAUGCCAACAAGAUUGAAUAAGGUUCACCAUCAUACAACCUACCCUAUAGAAGCUUAGCUAGUCAUAGUCAAAAUUACAAUACCAAUUGAAUAAAGAAGAAUAACAUAUGAGUUCCCUUGAAGGAUUGACCUCCAAUGACUUCUAAUGCUCUCAAAACCACACUUUGAUGCUGUAAAAUCGAACUCCUAAUGCCAAAUUUUGUAACCCUUGUGAAAGUGCAGAAUUUCCCCUUUUAAAGGUGUUAGAAUGGACUAGAACGCGUCAGAAAAAGGCGCAGAAAAGUGACCAUCGCGCAUAUAAUACUCUGCAUCGCGCAUGCCAUGCAACUUUUAAUGCCCUAUCAUGUGCGCAAUGUUGCACGAUGAUGGAUAUGAUUAUUUCCGAAGCUUCACUCUUUUUUUCUCCUUUUUCACUCAAAUAUUCACCAAGUCCACAAUUUGCACACUUAGAUAUUUUUACCUCAUUCUUUGGUCAUUCCUUCUCAUAUUUGCCCAACUUUCACUUUUUUUCUCUGAUUCUUCGACUAAAUAUAUGCAAUGACCAACUGUCAUCACCAGUUCAUUGGAGGUAUAUCAUAAGCUGAGAUGUAGUUUUCAAUUAAGUUGAGAUGACUUUCAAGAAAACUGAUGACGUUGGUCGGAGUGCGAAGAUCUCUGAAGAGAAGCUGGAACAUGAAGAGAUUCCGGUUGAGGUGGAGCAUUGUGAUGCUGAAUUAUAUAACCUAGAUUAAGUCGAAGAACAAUCACAAGUUGCUGACGAAUUUGAGGAGACUGAUAAUGACUAUCUGUUGACAAGAGACAUGUCGAGAAGAGUCAUCAAACUACCUCAGAGACUUGGUUAUGUGAUCAGUCUCCAAUUCUACUUGUUUUCUGACACUCAUUCCGCACCUUUGUACGAAGUCGGUAACACAUUAGUCCACUUAUUUUAUUGUUUUUUAGUAAUUUAGAUGUUUCGCAUUGUUGUUUCCAGUUGUUGAUUACAUGUUAUAUGCAUCAUUAUACUCCAUUUUAUAUCCGUUUGUGGUAGUUCUAUUGGUUUCAGGUGUAACUAAGAGUACCAGAGGGAUAGACAAGCAAAUUGGACGUUUCGGGCCCGUCGGAAGAAGAAAAUUUGACAGUACAGUAGCCCUGACACGGCCAUCCAUGUUGCCCAACACGGGUCAUGUCAGGAGAAGACACUUGGAAGAGGAAAAUAGGGAGUUGACAUGGGUGCCCGUGUAAGCUGACACGGCUCGUGUCAGCCUCCCUGAAGGGGCGUGUCAAGCCUGUUUACACCAGAAGCCCAACACGGCCUAUCGUGUUACCUGACACAACCAAUGUUGGCUUGGACACUUGAUUUGCCAUUUUUUGCCGUUUUUGGCACGGCUUAUCCCGGAGAGCAUUUUGGACUUUUGCUAGAUAAACAUUGUCAUCAGGAACUAUUUAGUGGAGACUUGAAUAUGGAUAAAGGGAUUUUUUCACGACCAAAAAAAUUAGAGACGAUAAAGAUUGAAGCAGUGGAAAGCAACUAAGAACAGAGAUCUUUCAAGAGCGGACGCGAUUGAAGAUCAACGGAAUUCCAAACUUUUUGUAAUGUCUCAAUUUUAUCUUGUAUUUUAUUUGAAUAAUAUGAGAGGUUAAACCCCCCAAUGCCAGGGGGUGUCCCUAAAUUGAUCAUGUAAUGACUCUGAUGUUAUAAUUUCCUUAAUAUAUGUUAUUUGUUUUCAAUUUCACUGUGUAAUGUGCGUAACGCCUUCUUUUUCAGAAAAAUCAAGAUUGAUGUAUGGUUAACGAUUAACAGGAUUGCAAUUAACUCUGAUGUUAUAAUUUCCUUAAUAUAUGUUAUUUGUUUUCAAUUUCACUGUGUAAUGUGCGUAACGCCUUCUUUUUCAGAAAAAUCAAGAUUGAUGUAUGGUUAACGAUUAACAGGAUUGCAAUUGUUAAGGUUUUUAUACAGUGAAACCAUAAUAGGGAUCACCUAGGACUAGGGAUACCCUAUGGUUACCGAAUUAUUCUUGUUAAAUUAAAAUGACUUGGUUUCAUCAUAAUCACCUAAGGACUUAGAGGUUAAAUUGAAUACCAAAGGUUUCCCUCCGAGGUCUUAGGGGGAAACAAUCUUAAAAUCCGGUAAUUGAAACAAUUCUCACUAUGAAGGAGAUAUACACUCAAGGGUUAUUACAUGAGAUUUUCACACACCAUCUGUGGCAUAUUAUUAUAAUCUGUGAACAUAUUUAUUUUGUUUUAUUUUCCCUUGCAGUGAAUUUUACAAAACCAAAACUAUUCCUUUUGUUCAAUUGUGUGACUGUUUACACUUAUAUUGCUGCACAAUCCUCGUGAUCGAUGUUUGGGAAACAUCCCUCUUAUUACUACAUCGGAAAAAUAGUACACUUGCUAUUUUCCCGAUCAUUAUGCAAAUCUCAUAACAUUUUCCUUAUUCUCUAUAAGUGAGGUUCUUGAUGAAGAACCUAGAGACUACAAGGAAGUUGUGCGGAUUCGAAACAAGACUGAAUGGCUGAAAUCCAUAGAUGAUAAGAUGAAAUCUUUUCAUGAUAAUCACACUUGGGAGUUGAUCGAGAAACCCGCAGGAGCCAGGUUAGUCAAUUGUAAGUGGAUUUUCAAGGUUAAUGAAGGAAUCAAAGGAGUGAUGUCGAAGAGAUUUAAGGAAAGAUUGGUUAUUAGGGGGUUCACUCAAAAAGACGAUGUCAACUUUAAUGAUGUGUUCUCGCAUGUUGUAAACCAUAAAUCCAUUCAAAUGUUGCUUGAUAUGGUGGCAAAGUUCGACUUAGAACUUGAACAGAUGAAUGUGAAGUCAUCCUUCCUAUAAGGUGAUCUAGAUGAAAUAAUCCCGAUGAGCAAACCGAAGGGUGUGCAGAAAAGGGCAAGGAGGAUUGUGUGUGCAAGCUGAAUAAGUCUUUAUAUGGACUGAAACAAUUUCCUCGAAAAUGGAAUAGGAGAUUUGACAAGUUCAUGGAACAUAUAGGUUUCGCUAGAAGCUAGUUCAACCAUUGUAUUUACUUCAGAUUUUGACCUGGAAAUUCACUUUUUAUUUUAUUGCUUUAUAUGGAUGAUAUCCUCAUAAAAAGUAACAUUGUCGAGGAUGUUAUGAAGGUGAAAGUUGAACUUGAUAAGGAGUUCGACAUAAAGGAUCUUAGAGAUGCCCCUAGAAUUAUCAGGAUUAACAUCCAAAGAGAUAGAAAGCAAUUUAGAUUAUGCUUAUCUCAAGAGACAUACCUACUGCUGGUAAAGGGAUUUAUGAAAGUUUCGGUUGACCUCGUAUUAGAUACGGACGCCCGUCUACCAUUACCCGACGUUGUUUCAGAGACAACGUUGAUGCAAGAUGCAGUCGGAUCCUUUGUUGGUUGGCCGUCAGAUCUAAUUUUCCCUGAUGCCGAGGUAUAUAUGUUCUAAAUGAUUAUGAAUAAAUUUAGAAUUCACAUUUCAAUUCAGCUACAAUUAUGAUAUUUAAUCAAUCCUUAUUACAUGGUAAUGUUAGACUCCUACAAGACCCACCCCUAAAGCUGGUAAGGAUUUCAAGACGCAUCGAGUCGGUUGCAUCUCAAAAAGAGGUACAAAUAUAUAUACCCAUUGAAUUAUAUACACAACGAUUCUUUUGCAUCACAAAAAGUAAUGAUUUAUUUUAAUAUGAAUUUUUAGGUUCCCGCGUCGAAAGUUGAAAAGCGAUGGUAAGGAUAUUCCAACGAAGGAUAUUCCAACGAAGGAUAUUCCAACGAAGGAUAUUCCAACGAAGGAUAUUCAACGACGCCGGACAAAAUCUCAAAUUAUGAUGCGUCUUGAGAAAAUGUGGAAGAUCCGAUAUUAUGGACGGGUCCAUUCGUAGUAUAGAUUUAUGAGAAGGUGUUUUCGGAAAAGCUCAUUUCGAAAUAAUUGAAAGAGGACAUGCAAACAACUUUUUGAGCACGACGAAUGGUGGACACAUUCAUCAUACUAUGUACUCCGAUCAAUCUAUUAAUUACUUAGUUACAAUUUAUUCACAUUCAAUGAGUAGUCUAUAUUUAUUAUGUUUCUAUUUAAGGUAUAUGUAUGACAAAUUGAUGCGGGGAACUGAAUUGUGUAACCGUUUCAAUUUUAUUGCUGCUUCCCGUGUCAACGCACGUUAAUAUCGAAAAAUCCAACAUCCGUAAAGAAUGAUCUAGUCGAUAGAUUCAUGGCGGCGGCGAUAAUACUACACGCAGUUUUUUUUUUUACCGUUUAAUUCUGGCAACGGUUAGAUUUUCUUUUAAUAAUUUCCAUUCUAAUCUAUGUAUAUCUUUUACAGUAGAAAAUUUUCAUUCAUCUAAAUUUUUGUUUAUUUUACAGUGGCCACUGGGUGUUGGUUGCUAUGGAUCUUUCGAGACUAAUAGUGUAUUAUCUCGAUUCGUUAUCGGGUGAUUGGAGUAAAUAUCCGGGUUUGAAGAAGCGGUUGACACGUAAGUGAAAUUCCUCUAAAUAUUCGUGUGUAUUUCUAUAUUUAAUUAUGUCGUCAGAUUGAUCUCAAUAUACGUUUUAUUUUGUUAGGGCAAUACAUAAAUUUAGAUCGAAAAGAAAAUUACCGCAUUAGGAAGGACAUUACCUGGGUCAGAGUUCAGGUAUAUAUAUAAGUAUCUAUUUUUGCUUAUAAUAGUGUUGUUUUUUUGCUUAUAAUAGUGUUUGUAAGAAAUUAACUAUAUAUAUAUGUGUGUUUCUAUGUAGUGUCCUCAGCCAAAUAAUUCGGUCGAUUGCGGUUUUUUGUAUUGAGAUUUAUGAGAGACAUCAUUGCGUUGAAUCGUAUAGACAUCCCAAAAAUGGUAUGGAAUAAUAACUUAGGGUUUAUUUUAAUAUAUAUCGAAUAUUUCAUCUAAUUUGUUACUAAAUCAUGAAUAUGUUUUUAUUCUCUUAAUUGUAGUACUUUGAGGAAUACAAAACCUACUCAAGAGCAAAAUUUGGAUGAAUCAAGGAUGAAUUGUGUCAAUUCAUUGUUGAUCCAAGAAUCAUAUAGCUAGGUUGUAUAUUGUUGUACAUAUAUGUAUGGAAUGUUGUUGUUGUAUGUGUGUUGUUGUAUAUAUGUUGUAUAUUGUUGUUGUAUUUUACUAAAUCAUGAAUAUGUUGUGUAUAUGUGUUGAUCAAAGAAUCAUAUUAAUGUUGUAUAUAGGAGGAUAAUGUUGGAUAUAAAAGGAUUCUGUGUAUAUAUAUAUCAAUGGAUUGAUGGUGUAUAACAUGGAUUAAAGAAUGAAAUCAAUAUGAAUUUUACAACUUUUGCAGCAUGCGAACAGGUUACCAUUAAUAUCCACUGUUUUUCAACAAAUUUUUUAUAAAUAACUAACACUUUAGAGGGCGCUUUCUGAGGAAGCGCCUGCUAAACACUUUACAUGAGAACUUUAGAGGGCGCUUUGUCCAGAAAGCGCCCUCUAAACACUUUACAUUGACAACUUUAGAGGGCGCUUUCUGCAGAAAGCGCCCUCUAAAGUGUUAGUUAUUUUAAAAAAAUAAGCGCCCUCUAAACACUUUACAUUGACAAUUUAGAGGGCGCUUUUUCCAGAAAAGCCGCCCUCUAAACACUUUACAUUGAAACUUUAGAGGGCGCUUUUUUCCAGAAAGCGCCCUCUAAGUGUCCCUUUAUGGACCACUCCAGAGGGCGCUUUUUUCAUAAAGCGCACUAUAAUGUGGCCUUUAGACAGCGCUUUCUCCAGGAAAACAAAGCGCUGUCUUUACCUAUGCCAGCGCCAGAUUAGAGGGCGCUUAAAAGCGCUGUUAUAGGCCAAAAUAAGCGCCCUCUUUUCCCUUAUUUGGCGUAGUGUUAUCAGAAAAAUCAAGAUUGACGUAUGGUUAACGAUUAGCAGGAUUGCAAUUGUUAAGGUUUUUAUACAAUGAAAUCGUAGUAGAGAUCACCUAGGACUAGGGAUACCCUAUGGUUACCGGAUUAUUCUUGUUAAAUUAAAAUGACUUGGUUUCAUCAUAAUCACCUAAGGAUUUAGAGGUUAGAUUGAAUACCAAAGGUUUCCCUCUGAGGUCUUAGGGGGAAACAAUCUUAAGAUCCGGUCAUUGAAACAAUUCUCACUAUUAAGUAGAUAUACACUCAAGGGUCAUUACAGGAGAUUUUCACACAUCAUCCUUGGCAUAUAAUUAUAAUAUGUGAACAUAUUUAUUUUGUUUUAUUUUCCCUUGCAAUGAAUUUUACAAAACCCAAACUAUUCCUUUUGUUCGAUUGAGUGACUGUUUACAUUUAUAUUAUUGCGCAAUCCUCGAGAUCGAUCUUUGGGAAACAUCCCUCUUAUUACUACAUCGGCAUAAUAGUACACUUUCUAUUUUCCCGAUCAAGUUUUUGGCGUCGUUGUCGGGGAUUGCCAAAUAUUAGUUGAAAUUAUCUCAAUUGAAUUUUUUUUGCUCUGCAACUAAAAUUUAUUUUUCGUAUUUUGAAUAUUUUAUUUCGAUUAUAUCGACUAAUCUAUGUCUGAUAUUUAUAAGUGAGGUAAGGCCUCAGUUGAUUUUUCUUUUGACGCAGAAAUCGAGAGAACCUUGCGGGCAAGACUCAGACAAGCUCGAUUAGCCAGAUUGGAAUCAGACGAAGAAUAACUUUUCACCCAUUUAGGUUCAGAUUCAGGUUCUGAUAGAGAGAUCAAAAUUAUGGCUGAAGCUCCACCGCCACCAGAAAGACUAUUGGGAGACUACGAAGGUGCAAAUGUACAAACCGACAAAUUAACUAUUGUCCACCAACCUGUGAACGUGGCUAAUUUCUAGCUGCACCUGAGUACCAUUAAUCAACUUGAAAGGAAGCAUUUUACUGGAAAAGUGAAUGAAGAUGCAAACAAGCAUUUGCAGAGGUUUCUGACCAUGAGAAACACUCUAAAAAUAUAUGGCCACACCGAAGAAGCCAAGAAAUUGAGAAUGUUCCCGUUUACCUUAGCGGAAGAAGCUGAAGAAUGGUUUUAUUCCUUACCCACCGGUAGAAUCACAUCAUGGGAAGAAAUGGAAAAAACCUUCCUGAAUGAGUAUUUUCCAGCAUCGGUAUUUCUGCAGAAGAGGUAUGAAAUUCUGAAUUUUAAGCAAAAGGACAGGGAAACUUUGGGAGACACUUACAAGAGAUUCAAGAGAGUCCUAGUAGCCUGCCCAACUCAUAAUAUGGAUGCUAUUGAAUAGAUGCAGAUCUUUGUGAAUGGUCUCAAAAUAAAGACCAAACAGCUGAUUGAUACUGCAGCCGGUGGUUCCACAAAUUUUUCAACAGCCACCAGUAUCAAGAAGAUCAUUGAAGCAAUUACUGCUAAUGAACACAUGGAGUUGUACGAUAGGUGUCAAAGCAAACCAGAAGGGGUUAUAGAUUUAAAGCUGGAAACUAAUAAAAUAUGUAUUGAAGAUACUAUAGCUGCCGAAGUUGAUAAGAAGCUGAAGGUGAUGAAUAUAGGUACCCAACAGGUGGCGCAGGUCCAACCGGUUCCUACUGUCUGCUGUGAAAUUUGUAGUGGUCCAUACCAAACUGUUUAUUAUUUUGCAACUCCUCAACAAGGGGAGGAAAUCAAAUUUUUGAAGCAGAAUAAUCCUUAUUCCAACACGUACAAUCCAGGUUGGAAGAAUCAUCCCAACUUUUCAUGGAAAGACAAAAAAGGAACCGCUCCUCAACAUGGUUAAUACCAAACUCAAUAUCAACAACAACAUCAGCAACAAGCCCCUAAGAAAGCUGAUUGGGAAAUUGCCAUUGAAAGAAUGGCAACUCAGAAUGUUCAACUUCAAGAAGAAACCCGGAACAAUCAGAAAAACACCACAACAUCCAUAAAGAAUCUUGAAGUCCAAAUGGGUCAAAUUGUUUAGCAACUAGCUUCGAGUUCUCAAGCACAAGGUGCUCUACCUAGUACAAUCGUGACAAAUCCUAGAGAGCAUAAUAAUGUGAGCAUGGUGACAACAAGAAGUGGUAAAUCGGAUGAAGUUGUCGAGGAAGUGGAUGAAGAGGAAGACCAAUUGAUCAAAGUGGACCUUGAGAUCAAAGAAAAUGAAGUUGUUAGGAAAGAAGUGGUAGCACCGAAACUGGUUGUGAAAGAAACAGUCAUUGAGCCCAAGCCGGUUGUUAAGCUUCCCUUCCCCACUAGAAACAAGAAAAAAGGACAACAUGAGAAAAACUUUGAAAAAUUCUUAGAGUUGUUCAAGAAGCUGGAGAUUGUUAAGCUUCCCUUCCCCACUAGAAACAAGAAAAAAGGACAACAUGAGAAAAACUUUGAAAAAUUCUUAGAGUUGUUCAAGAAGCUGGAGAUUAACAUUCCUUUGUUGGAGGCACUUGAACAAAUGCCUACGUAUGCCAAGUUCAUGAAGGAUAUCAUUUCGAAGAGGCAUACCACCGGAACUAACUCGAUUAUUCUAACUGAAACUUGUAGUGCUAUUUUGCAGGGUAUGAAGAUUUCGAUAAAGAAGAAGGAUCGAGGAGUUGUCACUAUCCCGUGUACUAUUGGAGAUAGGUCGUUCAACAAAGCUCUUAUUGAUCUGGGAGCUAGUGUGAGUCUCAUUCCAUUAUCCAUUUACAAGAAGCUUGGUAUAGGGGUUGUGCAAGAUACCAUGAUGACUCUCCAAUUCUCCGAUCAUUCGGUCAAGAAACCGUAUGGCAUUGUGGAAGAUGUUCUGGUGAAAAUUGAUAAGUUUGUAUUUCUGGUGGAUUUUGUAAUUCUUGAAAUGCCGGAAGAUGAAGAGAUCCCUCUCAUUCUAGGGAGACCCUUUUUAGAGACGGGACGAUGCUUGAUAAACAUAGAAGAAGGAACAAUGAUGUUGAAGGUUUAUGAUGAGGAAUUGAAAAUCGAUGUUCGAAACACCAUGAGGUACAAGGAUGAUAUUUGUACCAGUCAUACUAUAGAGGUUCUGGAUCAGGUGAUGACAUAUGAUAACCCUUUGCAUACACCCCAAUCACCUUUGGAAAGAGUUUUGAGUUUGUCCAUUUUUGAUUCGAAUAAAGAGGUGGACAACAGGGAACCUGAAAUGCUAGCCUUGUUGGACGCACAACCCCCGUGGAAAGGAUAUCGACCACGCCGGUGGGAGGAUUUACGCCUACCUCAAUCUAGUGAGGAGAAUGAAGACCCAAAGAAGGAAACGGAGUUGAAACAACUUCUUGACAACCUCAAAUAUGUCUUUCUCGAACCUGAAGGAAAAUGUUCUGCUAUCAUAAACUCGAGCCUUUAGAAUAUUCAAGAAGAAAAGCUCAUCCAUGUCUUGAAAAAGUACAAAAAUGUUAUUGGAUGUGCAAUUGAAUAUUUGAAGGGUAUUAGUCUUACUGUGUGCAUGCAUAAAAUUCUCAUGGAAGACGACCACAAACCGGUAGUCCAACCGCAUAGAAGACUAAAUCCUGUAAUGAAGGAAGUAGUUCGGAAAGAGGUGGUGAAAUUGUUAGACGCAGGUCUUAUAUAUCCUAUUUCUGACAUCCCGUGGGUGAGCCUAAUUCAUGUUGUCCCUAAAAAAGGGGGGACCACCGUAAUAAAGAAUGAAAAAAAUGAGUUAAUUCCUACUCGGACAAUAACUGGAUGGCGUGUUUGCAUUGACUAUAGAAGGUUGAACACAACAACUAGGAAGGACCGUUUCCCUUUACCUUUUAUUGACCAGAUGUUGGAGAGGUUAGCCGGGCGUGAUUAUUACUAUUUUCUAUAUGGAUACUCCGGGUAUAAUCAGAUUGUUGUAGCUCCGGAAGACCAAGAAAAGACAACAUUCACAUGCCCGUAUGGUGUUUUUGCUUACAGAAGAAUGCCAUUCGGGUUGUGUAAUACUCCAGCCACGUUCCAACGAUGCAUGACUUCCAUUUUCGCCGACAUGCUCGAAAAUCAUAUGGAAGUCUUCAUGGAUGACUUCUCGGUCUUUGGAUCGUCAUUUGAUAAUUGUUUAACUAAUCUCUCUCUUGUUUUAGACAGGUGCCAGAAAACGAAUUUAAUUUUGAACUGGGAGAAAUGUCACUUCAUGGUGCGUAAAGGGAUAGUGUUGGGUCACAAAAUUUCCUACAAGGGAAUUGAAGUUGACCAAGAAAAAGUGGAAGUGAUAUCUAAACUCCCACCCCCUAUUAAUGAGAAGGGUAUCAGGAGUUUCUUAGGACACACAUGCUUUUACCGCAGAUUCAUAAGAGAUUUUUCAAAACUUGUAAAACCGCUGACCACUCUAUUGGUUAAAGAUAAGGCGUUUCUAUUCAACAAAGAAUGCACCAUGGCCUUUGAGACAUUGAAGAUCAAACUGAUUUCAGCACCCAUUGCUAUUGCCCCCGAUUGGUCUCUUCCGUUUGAGAUCAUGUGCGAUGCUAGUGAUAUUGGUGUAGGGGCAGUCUUAGGACAGCGAAGAGAGAAGUUAUUACAUGUCAUUUACUAUGCUAGUUAUGUGUUGAACCCGACACAGAUGAACUAUGCAACCACUGAAAAAUAGUUGUUGGCCGUGGUUUACGCUUUUGACAAGUUCAGGCAAUAUUUGUUAGGAUCGAAGGUUGUAGUGUAUACGGACCAUGCCACUUUGAAAUAUCUGUUUGCUAAACAAGACUCUAAGCCGAGACUUCUCAGGUGGAUCUUACUCCUCCAAGAAUUUGAUGUAGAGAUCCGAGACAAAAGAGGGUGUGAAAUCACAAUGGCAAAUCAUCUAUCUCGCAUGUCACCUAUUGAAGAAACAGAAGAAAAGAGGCCGAUAAAGGAUGAGUUCACUGAUGAACACAUUCUCGUUGUUAUCAGUAUCCCGUGGUUCACAGACUACGCGAAUUAUUUGGUGGGGGUGUCUGAUCGUGUGAAUUCGUAAGUGCACGAAUCGCGUCAAAGUAAUAUAAAAGAAUAUCGAUCCCACAGAGACCAAAUCAUCAAUCUAUCGAUUACUACCGUUACAAUGUUUAUCUAAGGCAGUAUAAAAGAGAUAUUGGUGUUGCAAAAUAACGGUAAAUAAUAAAUGCAUGUAAAAACAGGUUGAAUGUAUUUCACGUCAGUUAAGUGAUGUUUCGAUUGUCUAAAUAGAACUACUUAUGAGGCAAUAUUUUCCACUCUUGAAAAGAAUCCAUUUAACAGGAACUGUCGCUUUCGCGUAUUCAGAACCGACUUUACCCUUAAAUUAAGGCCUCUUAUUGUCACUUAUAAAAGGUGCGCAGAAUGCUAAAGUAGUAAACUUAUUUUUAAGAAAUAAGACUCAUAAACUUAGUUGAAAAGUGAUUUUGGUUUGGAAAGUUUUACCCAAGGAGUUUCCUGAUUUCAAAUCUAUCAACGCGUCCGAAAACAGUUUCAAAAAUAGUUUCUCCUUAAAGUGAUAAAAAUUCCUAGUUAACUAAGCCAGGGUGCUUUCACACUCCUUGAAUAGUUAAAACUAACCAAGUUUGUUUCAGAAAACUCAAGUUAAAAAUCAAAACAACCUUUAAAGUAUUUAAAAGUGAUAAAAAUUCCUAGUUAACUAAGCCAGGGUGCUUUCACACUCCUUGAAUAGUUAAAACUAACCAAGUUUGUUUCAGAAAACUCAAGUUAAAAAUCAAAACAACCUUUAAAGUAUUUCUACAAAUUCAAUAUGUGAAACAUCUCUUUAACCGCGAUCCUUACAUUCUAACCUUUAAAAGAUUUAGCCAGACAUGGUAAUUCCAACAAACACAACGAUAUUGAUCAUGAUGAAAAUUUGUUUUAGAAUGUGAGGCGUGAGGGACGAGUAAAACGUGUAAAGAUAAAGCGUGGACAGAAAGUAAAUAAAAAUAAAGCGAGACGGAAAAUAAAUAAAGUAAAGCGUAGACAGAAAAUAAAUAAAGUAAAGCGAGACAGAAAAUAAAUAAAUUAAAUCGUAGAUAGAAAGUAAAUAAAGUAAAGCGAGACGGAAAAUAAAUAAAGUAAAGCGUAAGCGAAAAACAAAUAAAGUAAAGCGUAGACAGAAAGUAAAUAAAAUAAAGCGAGACCAGUAAAUAAAUAAAAGCGAUAAAAUAAGAACCUGCUCCAAACGGAGACUUUAAUUCUGGUACAAGGAAAAUAAACCUCCGACUUUGAAGAUAAAGAUGACAGCAACUCGAAGUGACCCAACUCAAUCUCACUAAGGUGCGAUAACCCCUCGAUGUGAUGGAUUACCACUUUACAGAUGAUAAAUAUAGUCUUAGUGUUGUAAAAUAAGUUGGAUGAUUUGAAAAUGAAAUGGAACAAACUAUUUAUAGAGGAUUUCAGCAGCUUUCCAAGACCAUGGUGCCCUCCAACUUCUCCUUAGUGGGAACGUGGAAUACAAAGGUGGCGCCCGCCAUCCCUUCAUGGCGCCCGCCAUGUGUGGAAAUGGGAAAGAUCAUGGGAACGUGGCGGUUACCUCCUAGUUGAGGUCUGAUGAGUCAUGGCUUCUCCUAUAGCGGCCGCCAUGUGCAACGCCAUGUGUACAAUAUUCGCCGAAAAACCCUAAUUUUAGGUCUUUUUGCUUCGUUUCUUCCAAAAGGGUCCGAAAGAGAUAAAUAUAUGAAAACAACAUAAAAGAGAGCAUAAUACAAACAAAAUGAUAAUAAAGUCCUAAUAAACAUGUGAAAUCCGAGUCAAAAACACGGCGUAAUUCAGUGUGAUCAGUGUCAUCCCCAACAAUUUUGAUUCUAACAAAAUUUGAUUUUUUUCUUUUUGUGCUUUUAUGGACCCCAUCCGGAUUUUCCACCACUUAAACAUAUUUUACCCUUAAGCUACCAAUAAAAUCUGUUUUUCUUUCUCUUUCUCUCUCUCUCUCUCUCUCUCUCUCUCUCUCUCUCUCUCAUUUUUACAUAAUCCCUCUCCUUCCUCAUUUGUUCUUCACCUUCCUCCAUAACCACACCACCUUAAAGCUCUCAACUUUAGCACCUUACUCUGUCCAAAUUGCCGGCACCCUUCACAAAAUUUUCUCUACUCUCCAUCUUCUACAAGGCUACGAUAAUCGUUUUUCCAUUUUCCAUACUUUUUUUGGGUAAUACAUUGUGUUGCAGGAAUCAAUAAUACCGCCAAAGCGAAUUUCCAAAGGGAAGCAAACAUAUGUGGAAUCAUCCCGUCCACGGAAACGGACCAUCCAUCAUCCGAAUUCAUAUGAUAUCAUCUUUGACAACUCGGAGCAUGAACGGAGGUACGCAUCUCACGUCAAACGAAAAAUCACUCUGACAAGGUACCUUUGCUCCGAUACUUUAUUUCAAUUAGGUUUGUCAGAAGAAUUGGAUAGGAUGUUCCAUGUCCUCGGAAUGCUUGAAUUUGUGCAUUGUGAAACGCCAACCUAUGAGCGCAUCACCUUAGAAUUCUUGAGCAUAAUUGAGUUCAAGAUGAAAAAAGGUUGGACGGUUACAACGAUGUACUUUGGAGGAACGAUGUCUUUCAGGUUAUACAAUGUCGACCACAAGUUGAUAGUGGAGCAGCUAGGUGAAAUUCUCCGCCUACCCCUUUAUAGCCUCGGAGCCGUACCAUAUAGUUUUGAUGCUAAGACUUUAUGGUUGGCCAUUAUGGGACAAUCUGAUUAUGUGGCAAAAGGGGAAAAUGCAUCUGACAUUCAGAACCCCUGCUUCAGGUAUGCCCAAAAGGUGCCGACUUUCACACUUUUUGGUAGGGGUGAUAGCACAGGUGUAGCCACCCAAAGGGAACUCUUCUUUUUGUUUGCCAUGGCAAACCGGGUAGCUGUGAGCGUUGAAGCAUUUUCAGCGGAUUACCUGGGCCAAGUGGGGAGAGCAGCCCAGGGGGGAAUCUUCAUAGGGGGCAUCAUCACACAUAUUUCCCAUCAUUCCGGAUAUGACCCUGCCACACUUAGUGAGACACCGGUGGCAAGUAAGCACAAACUGGACAUGAACGCAUUGGUCCAACAAGGUAUGAUUUCAUAAAUUUCUGAUUAUUAUCCCUUAAUGAGUUCUGGUCAGUUUAUAAUGGCUCUUCCUGACCCUGCACGAAUUAGCAUUUCCAACACGGCCAAUUGGCUAUAUGAGAGUGUCGUCCAAGAUGAUAUGGAAGAGCACAAUGCUGACACAUUUCCUGCAGGUGAUCCACCAGAGGAAGAAGUACAGGAAGAGAUGCAGGAACAAGAGCAAUUUGUUGCUCCACCUGAGGACACCAUGCACCCAGGUGUCAGGUCAUCAUAUGUGACGCCAGAUCAAUGGUCGUGGAUGCAAAUAGAAUUGGAGAUCUCCGAGCGGAGCAAACACGCCAAGGCUUAGAGCAAGCUUGUCAAGGGACUCUUAUGGACGAGAUGCACGCGAUGAUGCAACUCUGAUGUUGCACUUUCCGUCACCAUAGUGAACCGGUGUGAGUCCCUCUCUAUCUUGGAUUAAACAUUGCGGACAAUGUUUAGUUCAAGUGUGGUUUUUUUUUACUAUUUGUUGUUUUUGUUGUUUGUUUUGUUCUUAGUAUUUUUGUUUUAAUUAGUUGUGUGGUAUUCUAUGUGUUACAGAUAAAGGACAUUCGUGUCGGAUGAAUGAUGAAGCUUGGAGCGAUUGGAUGGAAAAGACACACCCCUCUACUUGCUCUUCUGGAAACCCCCGAAAGUUGAUGCUACUGACCCGAACAAUCGAACGCGACUCUUUGUCACUGGACUUCUUAGGGAUACUCUGUAACCGAAGCGAAGACGAAACUGCAUCACACUGAGAGGUAUCUUGGAAGCCUGUAAGCUAGACAAAACAUGGUGAGGACUACAAAAAGCCAAACACUUGUCAUCAUGAGAGUUGUCCAGGUAUGUAUCUAUCUCUCUGGGUUUGCAUUAGAGAUACUGAAAUUUCAUAACACACUGUACACACUGAGGCAUUGUUUUUAUUUUAACCCUGAGCCUUUUCAGACAACCCGCCAUUAUUACCCUUCGUUCACCAAAUUUGAGCCAUAUUUCAUUUUGUUUGCUAUUUAACCACUGUAUAUAACCAUAAGCCCAUACACCACCACACCUUGCUUAGAUAAGUGUUGUUUACUCCGGAUCUGUGGAAAAGCCUAAGUUUGGGGUUUUACCAAAAUGUUGGAGACACCGAUGAAAGGUAGAUAAGUGAAAAAAGAAAAAAAUUCAAAGAAAAAAAAAGAGAAAUGAAAAAAAUGUAUAUCAUGAGAAGUAUCAUGAAGAACUUAUCUAGAACUAUUAAGGUUGGCAAAAAGCAUGCUCAAAGAGCAAUAAAAGAAAAAUAUAUGAGCCAAUGAAUCUCAACAAGAACGAUGUCCAAAAGAAAUACCCCUGAUCUUUAGAUUGAACAACAGUUACGAGGGUAACAACACAAACUCUGAGCCUGAACCCCGUGUUUCCAUUUUUGUUUUGACUCCCCACCUUACACCUUAACCCCGCUACAACCCACAAAGUCCUCGAAUAGUGUGUGUUGUGUGUUUCUUGUUAUGAAGGUAUCUGUAUUUCAAACCUAAGAGUUGACUUUGCAUGCUCUAUUUUUCUUGAGUGUAAACACUUUGAUCCCGAGAGAUUUGGAGAGAGUGUGAAAAGCUACAGGUCAAAAGAUGCAUCAAGGUGAAAGUGUGGCUGAAGUCGGAAAUCGGGAAAGAGUAAAGUUGUGAUUGAAAAGUGAACAGGAGAUCGCGAAAGAUCGCAGUAGCAUUAUGGAUGUGAAAUUUGGGGGUGACUGUCCUGAUGUCUCGAGCAUCACUUGAGGACAAGCAAUGAUAUAAGUUUGGGGUUGUGAUCAGUCUCCAAUUCUACUUGUUUUCUAACACUCAUUCGGCACCUUUGUACGAAGUCGGUAACACAUUAGUCCACUUAUUUUAUUAUUUUGUUUAGUAAUUUAGAUUUUUUGCAUUGUUGUUUCCAGUUGUUGAUUACAUGUUAUAUGCAUCAUUAUACUCCAUUUUAUAUCCCUUUGUGGUAAUUCUAUUGGUUUCAGGUGUAAGCAAGAGUACCAGAGGGAUAAGCAAGCAAAUCAGACGUCCUAGGCCCGUCAGAAGAAGAAAAUUUGACAGUACAGUAGCCCUGACACGGCCACCCGUGUUGCCCAACACGGCCCGUGUCAGGAGAAGACACUUGGAAGAGGAAAAUAAGGAGCUGACACGGGUGCCCGUGUCAGCUGACACGGCCUGUGCCAACCUCCUUGAAGGGGCGUGUCAAGCUUGUUUACACCAGAAGCCCAACACGGCCUGUCGUGUUGCUUGACAUGACCAAUGUUGGCUUGGACACUUGAUUUUUCAGUUUUUUUUGCUGUUUUUGGCACGACUUAUCCCGAAGGGCAUUCUGGACUUUUACUAGAUAAAAAUUGUCAUAAGGAAUUAUUUAGGGAAAACUUGAAUAUGGAGAAAGGGACUUUUUCAUGAUAAAAAAAAUUAGAGACGAUAAAGAUUGAAGUAGUGGAAAGCAACGAAGAACGGAGAUCUUUCAAGAGCGGACACAAUUGAAGAUCAACAGAAUUCCGAACUUUUUGUAAUGUCUCAAUUUUAUCUUGUAUUUUAUUUGAAUAAUAUGAGAGGUUAAACCCCCCAAUGCUAGGGGGUGUCCCUGAAUUGAUCAUGUAAAUACUCUGAUGUUAUAAUUUCCUUAAUAUAUGUUAUUUGUUUUCAAUUUCACUGUGUAAUGUGCGUAACGCCUUCUUUUUCAGAAAAAUCAAGAUUGAUGUAUGGUUAACGAUUAACAGGAUUGCAAUUGUUAAGGUUUUUAUACAGUGAAACCAUAAUAGGGAUCACCUAGGACUAGGGAUACCCUAUGGUUACCGAAUUAUUCUUGUUAAAUUAAAAUGACUUGGUUUCAUCAUAAUCACCUAAGGACUUAGAGGUUAAAUUGAAUACCAAAGGUUUCCCUCCGAGGUCUUAGGGGGAAACAAUCUUAAAAUCCGGUAAUUGAAACAAUUCUCACUAUGAAGGAGAUAUACACUCAAGGGUUAUUACAUGAGAUUUUCACACACCAUCUGUGGCAUAUUAUUAUAAUCUGUGAACAUAUUUAUUUUGUUUUAUUUUCCCUUGCAGUGAAUUUUACAAAACCAAAACUAUUCCUUUUGUUCAAUUGUGUGACUGUUUACACUUAUAUUGCUGCACAAUCCUCGUGAUCGAUGUUUGGGAAACAUCCCUCUUAUUACUACAUCGGAAAAAUAGUACACUUGCUAUUUUCCCGAUCAUUAUGCAAAUCUCAUAACAUUUUCCUUAUUCUCUAUAAGUGAGGUUCUUGAUGAAGAACCUAGAGACUACAAGGAAGUUGUGCGGAUUCGAAACAAGACUGAAUGGCUGAAAUCCAUAGAUGAUAAGAUGAAAUCUUUUCAUGAUAAUCACACUUGGGAGUUGAUCGAGAAACCCGCAGGAGCCAGGUUAGUCAAUUGUAAGUGGAUUUUCAAGGUUAAUGAAGGAAUCAAAGGAGUGAUGUCGAAGAGAUUUAAGGAAAGAUUGGUUAUUAGGGGGUUCACUCAAAAAGACGAUGUCAACUUUAAUGAUGUGUUCUCGCAUGUUGUAAACCAUAAAUCCAUUCAAAUGUUGCUUGAUAUGGUGGCAAAGUUCGACUUAGAACUUGAACAGAUGAAUGUGAAGUCAUCCUUCCUAUAAGGUGAUCUAGAUGAAAUAAUCCCGAUGAGCAAACCGAAGGGUGUGCAGAAAAGGGCAAGGAGGAUUGUGUGUGCAAGCUGAAUAAGUCUUUAUAUGGACUGAAACAAUUUCCUCGAAAAUGGAAUAGGAGAUUUGACAAGUUCAUGGAACAUAUAGGUUUCGCUAGAAGCUAGUUCAACCAUUGUAUUUACUUCAGAUUUUGACCUGGAAAUUCACUUUUUAUUUUAUUGCUUUAUAUGGAUGAUAUCCUCAUAAAAAGUAACAUUGUCGAGGAUGUUAUGAAGGUGAAAGUUGAACUUGAUAAGGANAAAAGAGAGAGAGGUGUAGUGUGCACACGCCUGAUAUGUAAGGUCUUAUAUGGACCUCAAAUUUCCUCGAAAAUGGAAUAGGAGAUUUUGACAAUGUUCAUUGGAACAUAUGGUUCUCGGCUAGCAACGCUAGUUCAAGACGCAUUGUACUUUACCUUAGUAUUUUGACCUGGAAAUUCACUUUUAUUUUAUUGCUUUAUAUGGAUGAUAUCCCCAUAAAAAGUACAUUGUGCGAGGAGCUUAAUGAAGUGAAAGUUGAACUUGAUAAGGAGUUGCGACAUAAAGGAUCUUAGAGAUGCGCCCUAGAAUUAUCAGGAUUAACAUCCAGAGACUAGAAAGCAAUUUAGAUUAAGUGCUUAUCUCAAGAGACAUACCCUACUGCUGGGUAAAGGGAUUUUAUGAAAGUUUCGGUUGACCGUCGUAUUAGAUACGGACGCCCGCCUCUACCAUUACCGCGACGUUGUUUCAGAGACACUGUUGAUGCAAGAUGCAGUCGCGAUCCUUGUUGGUUGGCCGUCCAGAUCUAAUUUUCCCUGAUGCCGAGGUAUAUAUGUUCUAAAUGAUUAUGAAUAUUUAGAAUUCACCAUUUCAACUUCAGCUACAAUUAUGAUAUUUAAUCAAUCCUUAUUACAUGGUAAUGUUAGACUCCUACAAGACCCACCCCCUAAAGCUGGUAAAGGAUUUCAAGACGCAUCGAGUCGGUUGCAUCUCAAAAGAGGUACAAAUAAUAUAUACCCAUUGAAUUAUAUACACAACGAUUCUUUGCAUCCCAAAAAGUAAUGAUUUAUUUUAUAUGAAUUUUAGGUUCCCGGUCGAAAGUUGAAAAGCGAUGGUAAGGAAUAUCAACAAGAAGGAUAUUCCAACGAGGAUAUUCCAACGAAAGGAUAUUCCAACGAAGGAUAUUCCACACGACGCCGGACCGACAAAAUCUCAAAUAUGAUGCGUCUUGAGAAAAUGGUGGAAGACGCGAUAUAUGGACGGGUCCAUUCGUAGUAUAGAUUUUGAUGAAAGUGUUUUCGGAAAAGCUCAUUUCGAAAUAAUUUGGAAAGGAGGACAUGGCAAAACUUUUGAGCAGCGACGAUUUGGGCAUCGGUAGUCAUUCAUACAUACAUAGUGGUACUCCGAUCAAUCUAUAAUUUACUUAGUUGAACAUUUAUUACACAUUUCAAUGAGUAGUCUAACUAUUAUUAUGGUUCUAUUUAACGGUGGAUCAAGUGUAUUGACAAAUUCGAUGCGGAGGGGAACUGAAUUGUGUAACCGUUUCAAUUUUAUUGCUGCUUCCCGUGUCAACGCAACAUUAAUAUCGAAAAAUCCAACAUCCGUAAAGAAUGAUCUAGUCGAUAGAUUCAUGGCGGCCGGCGAUAAAACUACACGCAGUUUGUUUUUUUUACCGUUUAAUUCUGGCAACGGGUUAGAUUUUAGAAUAUAUCUAUAUAAUGUAAAACUCCUUUAGUCAUUAGGGUUCCAUAUUUUUAUGAUUAAGGAGGGACCGUUCUAGAGUACACCCUUAAAUAAUGAUUGUUAUCCUACUCAUUAUGAUUUAUUGGACCAUCAGAAUUUUCUCGAAAGAAAAAUAACUCUCUAAAGAAAUUUUCAAGAAACACUCAAAAAAAAUUGACGAGUAGAAAGGGGAUAAAUGAGGGACUCCAAAAUUUAAAGAGCAUGUAAAAGAAUGUGAGGAAGGAAAAACUCAUGUUUUUGGUGUGCUUUGAGAAGUGACGUAAGUUCUUUAUUUCCAUGAACGAAUGAACCAAAUCAUUCGAUCAUUAACGAAAUAGACAAUCAAAUGAACAAAAACGUGGGAGAGAAUUAAAGAAGUGGAGCUUUGUCAAGGCAAGGGGAAGAAGAAUUUGAACGAUUAAACACAUCAUCUCACAAACCCUAAAUCUAAACUGAUCUUGCUUAAUGAAUAUUCAUUUUAACAGUGCUUAAUGAAUAUUCAUUUUAACAGUAUUCACUCAAAGCUUACAAAGCUAAUGGUCAAGGAUGACAUGUCAAUUUUGAUUUUUGUAUUCACUCAAAGCUUACAAAGCUAAUGGUCAAGGAUGACAUGUCAAUUUUGAUUUUUUUAUUUUUAAAAUUAAAAUAUAGAUUAAAUAUCAAGCCACAACCACAUGUCUGACACUAACCAAAUCGAUUGGUCAAACAAUAUGUGAUAUUAAUUAUUGAAAUCAUUAUCUUUUUUGGCAAAACUUAUAUAUUCAUUGAAGCACACCAUAAAGAGAAUUCUUCAACUAUAUAAACAAUUGAAAUAUGUAAACCUUGUUAAAUGUGAAGCUGAAAUAUUUUAUUUUUUCAAUCACCACUCACAAUUUGACCCUUGACAAUUAUUCCAUAAUAAAAAAACAAGUUGUUUGUGUGAACACACCCAUCUCUUUGAAUUCUAAGCACGUUCCUCUCCAACCAAUUAAUAUUUGAAUCAUAGUUGACAAUGCUGUGAGGACUAACCCAUUUCAAGCUACCAUAUACCCUAUGAAACAAUAAACACAAUAGUAUAUACAAUAUUUAUUUAUUUAAGACUGAUAAAAGUUUGUUGUUUAUUUGAUUUGGAAGGAAGAAUUUGUUAGCAGCAUGAAUUAAAUAUUCUUGAAUCUCCUUAUACGAUUCUUUUUCAACAUUAUUACACUCUACUUAUGAAACAAUAUAAGAUUAUAAGUAUAAAUAAUUAGCCAAUAGUAUUAAGUUAUAGUUUGUUGACUAUUGACUCAUAUAUAGAGAUAAACAGAAGUGUUCAAAGUUGACAUUUCAAACGCUAUUACGUGUUUUAGUUCUCAUCAAUAGUUGUAUAUAUACUUCACUCUCUAUAAAUCCAACAUUCAACAAACCAUCACAAAUAGAGAUCAAACUCACUAAAUUUGGAGAAAUAAAUCAUAGAGAAACAUGCCAAUGCUGCAAACCUCCAACUGUAUCUCUACAAAAUCAGUGAUAAUUACCAUGUAAGUAUAUGCUCCUUCGGUUUUUUAAAUAUUGAAUAUUUUGCAGAACUUUUUUGUUUAUUUUCAUUUAUUAUUUUCAAAAGUUAAAACAGUAUUAAUCAUUAGUUAUUUAAAAUCAUUUUUUAAAUGAUUUAUUAUGAAGUAAGAUAAUAUUCAAACUGACCCAAAAUUUUAAAUUUUUUAGAAAAUUAAUGCGAAUUUAAAACAAAAUAAAUAAUUUUAUAUGAAAAAAGAAAUUAUAGAUAAUUUUACAAUAUUAUCUUUUAUUAAUAAUAUAUUAAAGAGAAACUUAAAUUAGAAUAAAUAAGAGUAAUAAAACAUAAAACUUAUUGUUGAAAAAAUCAUUAAGAUUAUAUUAAUAUUAUAAUAGUGAUUUAUAAUUUAAAACAAUUAAGAAAAGAGUUAAAUAAAUAGUUAAGAAUAAAAAAAUAAAAUAAAAAUCCCGAAAAACAUAAAUGCCUUCUUAUUAAUUGUUUGAAGAUAUUCUUUAUUUUCUUUUGUAAUUGCUCCGUAAGAAAUAGCAUGUCUCUAAAUUUUAAUUUCACAAAGUUAUAUUAUGAGUUUAUGACUUGUAACAUAUAAAUUUAUAUGUUUAAAAUUUAAUUUGGUAAUAAUUAUUUUUUUCACAAACUUAUAUUUAUAUUAGUUCAUAGAUUUUUUUAAUGAACUAAUUUAAGUAGUUUAUAAUUUAUUAAAUGUACUUCAGUUAUCUUAAUUACAAUAAAUAAACAUUAAUUAAACAUAUUUAUGCAUCAUGUAAUAUUUAUUGGUUAACUCUACCAUAUUAAAUAUUAUAUAUUUAAUUAAUUAAGUUAUUUCAUACAAUGAUCAAAUAACUUAAAACAAUGAGCUAUAAAUUGAUAUGAUCUAAACUAAUUUAUUACUAUUUUUUUUUUUCAAACAGAGGCGGGUUAUAUUUAGUGUUUCUUCUGGGAAAAUUUAUUAACGAUAAAAAGAAAAAACAAGUUGAAAAAAGCAGAAAAAGAGUACCAGGUGGCACAGGUGUAGGAGGAGGAGGGCCUGGUCCAGGUUCGACUGUUAAUGGUCAGCCACCAGAAAUGUGAUUGAGGAUAGUUAAUAGUAUUACAUUGUUACAUUUUUUAUCCUCUAUAGUCGAUAAAUAUGUCUUUUGUUAUUACUAGAUAAAUAAAUAUAAUUUAAUCCAUUUAUGUUGUUAUUAUAUAUUUUUAUCAUAAUUUUUAUUUUAAUAAAUGAUCUUAUUUAUAUUAUCGAAA
rnacentral:lncRNA from 1 species